ACCUAUCGCCCGCACGUACGAGCGACCUCUCCUCUCGAUCCACCCCCUCCUGUGCGACCGCUCUCUUUCCCUCUCCUCGCGAUGCGGCGCCGCCCCCAUCUCUCGCUCCGCCGCCACCGCCCCCCGCCUUCCCCUACCUCCCGCUCAGCCACGUCCACCACCCCCACCCUUCUCCCCAUUGCCGGAUCCGCUUGCAGAUCGUCAAGGUUAGGCAGCGGAGCUCCACAUCCGUGACCCGUGCGUGCUUGUCAAGGAAGCUGCUCCUGGAUCUACGCUUGCGCGGCUGUGGCGGAAGGGACACGAGGUGGCCGCCGUCGCCGCGGAAGACCAAUCCCCCACCUUGUCCAGAAACUCUUCCUCCGCCAUGUUUCACCGAGGAAGGAGGGGGCGGCUCAAAGUCUCCCUCGUUGCCGCCUGCAGCCGCAGCCGCCGCCAUGGGUGAGCUCCUCCUACACAACCAGUUUUGAUGGAUUCAUGGGCACAUGCAUGUAUAGCGGCUGGUGCGGCCGGCGGUCGUGCGGCGUCUCGGCCCGAAUGUCAAGUCUAUGUUUGUUUUCCUCCUACUGUGCACUAACCUAGAAGCCUGUAACCAUGUCCGUAGACUAAAUUAAUACUAUCCCUGAGUGAAGGUAAUGUUUCCAGCAAGAGAAUUGACAGUGUUGACAGUGCCGUGAUAUUUCAUAGUUGGAUGAUACAAGGAUCUGAUGUUGUGUGCUGCUACAUCUACACGCCUUCUUUCUUACAGGAAUCGGCUCCGCAGUUUAGUCCUCGAUCUUCCAUGUGGCUUACUGAAUUUGAAGUAGUGAAGGAACUAUGAUCUGAGGCAAAUGUGUGCAGAUAUUCAGUAGCUGAAGCCUCCCGAUUGAUAACAUACACGGAUCUUCAAAAGGCCACAACCACAAUAAUGCAAGGAUCUGCUGAACCAGUGGUUGUAAAGGCUCCGCGUGAGUGAUUCCGUGCAAGGGGAAUGAGAGUUCUAGAAAGAGGUACAUUGGUGAAAUGCAGCAACCAGAUAAAAGAAAUGCAUUUCUCCAUCUCCCUCUGAUGGCAAGUGCGACCCUGAUGAAGCUGCUCCCCUACAUCAAGGACUACCCCGAUAGUGCGGCCUUGAUGGCACAACUCCCAUACACCAAGGACUAGCCCCAUGGUGCGGCCACGACAUCACUGCUCCCCUACACCGCCAACUACAACCUGAGAUCUUAGAACAGGGUAAACCAUUGAGUGGCAAUGAUACAUGUGUGUCCAUUGCAACUUAGAGGUACGACAUAGUGAUUAGCAGCAUGAGGUGCUGAGCACAUCGCGUGUGUGUCUGUAUGUGUGCGCUGAUAUGUGGUUCAUGAGGAACAAACUGAUUAAGCAUGCUCCAAAGCUACGAGCGACUGAACUAGGUAUCUUUUCUAUUUUCAUGGUGAAGCCUGGUUUUAACUGCUAAAGAAUAGCAGGAGAUGGAAUCAUUGAAAUACAAUCAAUUCUUAAGUAAAUGAACUGAGACUUGAUGGUUGUGUGUUAUUGGUACAAUAUGUAUUUUGGGCCUGAAUUGUGACGCAAAUCGAGAAUUCCUGGUUACUUAUUAUUAGUAUAUAGUAUACCUUUUUUGGGCCUGAAUUCUGAACCUUUCUGAUUUUUUUGGUAGUGUGUUAUCAGUGUAGUAUGCAUUUUUGGCCUGAAUCCUUAACCUUAUCUAGGUAUUGGUUUUCUGCAAUCAGUGAAGCACUCAUGGUCAUGCGUAUUUGUUAGUCUACAUUACUUAUAGAUUUAGUUGUUUUGAUAUGUAUCCACUCGUCGGUCAGUUAACUGAAAUUUGUUGGCAGUGGUUCUUUAUGUUCUUUAACUGUUAUACAGAAGCAGCGGACUGAAACAUUUAAAAACAAUCAGCUCUUUAUGAAUUAACUAAAGACUUGAUGGUUGCGUUAUUAUUAUAGUAUAUACAUUUUUGGGCUUGAAUUACAAAUCCGAUUAAAAUAUCCUUGUUUUGUGUUAUUAUUAUGGUAAUGUUAUCGAGAUUUGUUAAUGUUUUUUUCCUUUCCUUCCUAAACUUCUGAUACUCUCUGCAGUGAUGAAAUGUUUUUGCAUGUCAGUUAAGUACCAGGGCAACCACAGAUGAUGUUCCUUUCUUUCAUUGAGUUGCCUUACUGUUAUGUCGUCCAACUUUUUGUUAAUAUACACACUCGACAACUUACUGUUAUAACAUCCAACUUUUUGUUAAUACACACUUGAUUCUGGAACCCAUGAACUCUUUGUCUCUCCGAGGACAUGUUUCACAUCUACUCCUGUUUGUAAAAAAACAUUAUAGUCUAUUAUGUGCUAUGUAGGCAAAAAAUACAUAAUUGGUUCUCUUCUAUGUGCUUUCCUUAAUGAAUACACUUGGUUCACAAAAGCCUUAGCAUAAUUUGUUGAACAAGUUUUGCCUAACUUUAUUUCUUGCAUCUCCUGUGGUAGGUUUUAUUUCUUGGUACUUGUAAAAUUGUUCAGAUUACUUAGCUUCGUUCAGCUGCUGUGUUGACUAAAUCUACUGUGCCUAUAAGCAUACGUGCUUGCACGUGACCAUGUCGGCUAUGUUGUUAUUCUUUCUUGAAUUGGUAGGUUGAAACCAAGAGGGCAUUGUAAACUUUGAUGACACUUUGUGGGAAACCAAUUACUUCAUGGCCAGAGGUGAUUUUGGAAUGGAGAUUUCAGUUGAGAAGAUAUUCCUUGCACAGAAAAUGAUGAUCAACAAGUGCAACCUUGCUGGUGAGCCCGUUGUCACAGCGAUUGUAGGCACCAUCCAUUCCAAUUGUCCAUUGGUUUAACUUCAGUUUUUUUAUGUACAACUUAUAGGCCGGACUGAUUUUUUUACUUGCCCUGAUGAAGCUGUAGACUAUACACAUAAGUUGCUGAUUUUGCAUGUUAUACUUGUGUAAAUGUUGUUCCACCUUCCCACUUUGUAAUUUCAUGGCCAUUUCAGAUGAUCUAGACAUUUAAUGUAUGGAAUAUACAUUGGCACUAAAUAAGGAAUAUUGGAAGAUAGUAUGCCACAAUAUCUGUUAUGAGCUUUUCAGAAAGUUGUAAAGAAUAGUUCUAUUUUUUGUGGGUAGUCAAUCAAAUUAUGGUUCUUGGUUGAAGCCCUCUUGAUGAACGACACCCCAUGCAGUAGCGACAAUGACCACAUGGAAGAGAUUAAGAACAUCAGCAACAUCUUGCGGUGUUCCUCCUCAUCGUUGUUGUCACCACCGAAUAAUGACGACCAGCUCAUUAGACCGCUACUAGAGCAUUGGAGCCUUCUUGAGAAGGCAACACACCUGAGAUCGGGAGAGAGUGAGCGAGAGAGAGGGGGAGAGAUCGAGGGAGGGAGGG